CGCGCAGGCGGUUUUAUAAGUCUGGUGUGAAAGCCCACGGCUCAACCGUGGAGGGUCACUGGAAACUGUAAGACUUGAGUAUAGGAGAGGAAAGUGGAAUUCCAUGUGUAGCGGUGAAAUGCGUAGAUAUAUGGAGGAACACCAGUGGCGAAGGCGACUUUCUGGCCUAUAACUGACGCUGAGGCGCGAAAGCGUGGGGAGCAAACA
rnacentral:rRNA from 1 species